UACGUAGGUGGCAAGCGUUGUUCGGAAUUACUGGGCGUAAAGGGUUUGUAGGCGAUUAUUCGAGCCAGUGGUGAAAGCCCAGGGCUUAACCCUCGGAAUUGCCAUUGGAACUGUAUAGCUUGAGAGUGUUAGAGGAAAGUGGAAUUCCUAGUGUAGGAGUGAAAUCCGUAGAGAUUAGGAGGAACACCGAUGGCGAAGGCAGGUCUCUGGGCCGAUACUGACGCUGAGGAGCGAAAGCGUGGGGAGCGAACAGG
rnacentral:rRNA from 1 species